rnacentral:rRNA from 1 species
GGCCUUGACAUACUAAGAACUUUCCAGAGAUGGAUUGGUGCCUUCGGGAACUUAGAUACAGGUGCUGCAUGGCUGUCGUCAGCUCGUGUCGUGAGAUGUUGGGUUAAGUCCCGCAACGAGCGCAACCCUUUUCCUUAUUUGCCAGCGGGUCAUGCCGGGAACUUUAAGGAUACUGCCAGUGACAAACUGGAGGAAGGCGGGGACGACGUCAAGUCAUCAUGGCCCUUACGGCCAGGGCUACACACGUGCUACAAUGGUCGGUACAAAGGGUUGCUACCUCGCGAGAGGAUGCUAAUCUCAAAAAGCCGAUCGUAGUCCGGAUCGCAGUCUGCAACUCGACUGCGUGAAGUCGGAAUCGCUAGUAAUCGCGGAUCAGAAUGCCGCGGUGAAUACGUUCCCGGGCCUUGUACACACCGCCCGUCACACUAUGGGAGUUUGUUGCACCAGAAGUAGGUAGUCUAACCGCAAGGAGGACGCUUACCACGGUGUGGCCGAUGACUGGGGUGAAGUCGUAACAAGGUAGGCGUAGAUGA